UCUGGUGGCGAUAGCAAGAAGGAUACACCUGUUCCCAUGCCGAACACAGUAGUUAAGCUUCUUAGCGCCGAGUGUAGUUGAGGGUUUCCCUCCGCAAGAGUAGGACGUUGCCCGUA
rfam:Carnobacterium maltaromaticum LMA28 complete genome